rnacentral:lncRNA from 1 species
AAGUCACAUUGCACAGUUGGGUGACAAAUUCAAUAUCAAUAAGUUAAUUAUGCAAGUGAUUGAAUCGAACAAUAUACAUGGAGUGGAGGCAUAAACAAUUAACUAUGGAGGAAUAAACAAUUAACUAACAAAAAAGUGCAUGAACCCUUACAUUUAAUUCAUUACAAUACAACACAUUUGUAAUUCAUAAAGUUCAUAACAAUACAACACAUUAGUACAUAGUCUCAUAAGGGUUAACAGCAUUAGUACGACUAAGACAAAGAGCAUGACACCAACACAAACUUCCUAAACCAGACUUAGUAAUGCUGUUAACACCAACAUCACUUCCCUCCGAUCACCAGACCAAGUACCACUAAUACAAAGAGCAUGACACCAACACAAACUUCAAACUCAAUUUUUAAAGUAAACGACUUCUUUGCCAAGUCAGAAACUAAGUUCUCUAGCCUAACCACCUUUUCCUCAGACUCAAAGUUACUCAUUAAGGUAAGGUUAUCUACCUUUUCCUCCAACUGCAGAAUGUGUUUAUCCCUCGCCCU